rnacentral:rRNA from 1 species
AGUUCGAUUCUGGCUCAGAUUGAACGCUGGCGGGAUGCUUUACACAUGCAAGUCGAACGGCAGCACGGACUUCGGUCUGGUGGCGAGUGGCGAACGGGUGAGUAAUGUAUCGGAACGUGCCUAGUAGCGGGGGAUAACUACGCGAAAGCGUAGCUAAUACCGCAUACGCCCUUCGGGGAAAGCGGGGGACCUUCGGGCCUCGCACUAUUAGAGCGGCCGAUAUCGGAUUAGCUGGUUGGUGGGGUAACGGCUCACCGGGCGACGAUCCGUAGCUGGUUUGAGAGGUGACGACUUUCAGCCACACUGGGACUGGAGACACGGCCCAGACUCCUACGGAGGCAGUGGGUAAUUUUGGACAAUGGGGGAAACCCUGAUCCAGCCAUCCCGCGUGUGCGAUGAAGGCCUUCGGGUUGUAAAGCACUUUUGGCAGGAAAGAAACGGCACGGGAUAAUACCCCGUGCAACUGACGGUACCUGCAGAAUAAGCACCGGCUAACUACGUGCCAGCAGCCGCGGUAAUACGUAGGGUGCAAGCGUUAAUCGGAAUUACUGCUGCAAAAGCGUGCGCAGGCGGUUCGGAAAGAAAGAUGUGAAAUCCCAGAGCUUAACUUUGGAACUGCAUUUUUAACUACCGAGCUAGAGUGUGUCAGAGGGAGGUGGAAUUCCGCGUGUAGCAGGAAUGCGUAGAUAUGCGGAGGAACACCGAUGGCGAAGGCUGCCUCCUGGGAUAACACUGACGCUCAUGCACGAAAGCGUGGGGAGCAAACAGGAUUAGAUACCCUGGUAGUCCACGCCCUAAACGAUGUCAACUAGCUGUUGGGGCCUUCGGGCCUUGGUAGCGCAGCUAACGCGUGAAGUUGACCGCCUGGGGAGUACGGUCGCAAGAUUAAAACUCAAAGGAAUUGACGGGGACCCGCACAAGCGGUGGAUGAUGUGGAUUAAUUCGAUGCAACGCGAAAAACCUUACCUACCCUUGACAUGUCUGGAAUCCCGAAGAGAUUUGGGAGUGCUCGCAAGAGAACCGGAACACAGGUGCUGCAUGGCUGUCGUCACCGUGUCAGAUGUUGGGUUAAGUCCCGCAACGAGCGGCAACCCUUGUCAUUAGUUGCUACGAAAGGGCACUCUAAUGAGACUGCCGGUGACAAACCGGAGGAAGGUGGGGAUGACGUCAAGUCCUCAUGGCCCUUAUGGGUAGGGCUUCACACGUCAUACAAUGGUCGGGACAGAGGGUCGCCAACCCGCGAGGGGGAGCCAAUCCCAGAAACCCGAUCGUAGUCCGGAUCGCAGUCUGCAACUCGACUGCGUGAAGUCGAAUCGCUAGUAAUCGCGGAUCAGCAUGUCGCGGGUGAAUACGUUCCCGGUCUUGUACACACCGCCCGUCACACCAUGGGAGUGGGUUUUACCAGAAGUAGUUAGCCUAACCGUAAGGAGGGCGAUUACCACGGUAGGAUUCAUGACUGGGGUGAAGUCGUAACAAGGCAA